UUAUGUUCUUGAAACUUAAAAAAUUUGGCGGUAUUUUAGUCUAUUCAGAGGAACUUGUUCUAUAAUCGAUAAUCCCCGAUGGACCUUACUUGAAUUUGUAAUUAGUUUAUAUACCGUCGUUAUUAGAAUAUUUUAUAAGAAUGUUAAUUUUCAUAAUUUUUUUUAAAAAAGUAUAUCAGAUCAAGGUGUAGCUUAUGUUUAAGUAGAAAUGAGUUACAAUAAAAUAAUUUAAACGAAUUUAAAUUUGAAAAAUUUAUUGAAGGUGGAUUUGAUAGUAAAAUUAUAAAGAUAAAUAAUUUGAUUUUAGCUCUAAAAUAUGUACACAUCGCCCGUCGCUCUUAUUAUUAAAGUAAGAUAAGUCGUAACAUAGUAGAUGUACUGGAAAGUGUAUCUAGAAUACAAUUUAAAACUUUAUUAGUAAAGUAUUUCAUUUACAUUGAAAAGAUUUUUGUGCAAAUCAAUAUAAAUUGAUUAAAUUUUAUUUAUUAAUUUUAUUUGUUUAGUUAUAAAUUAUUAAAAAUAAUUAUAAAAAAAAUUUGUUUGAGUAUAUUUAUAGAAAAAAUAAUUUUAAUUAUAGUUUAAUAGUAUUGUGAA
rnacentral:rRNA from 1 species